UGAGUUUGAUCCUGGCUCAGAGUGAAGGCUAUAAGUCUGCUUGAAUACAUGCGAGUCGAAUGGUUUAGACCAUGGCGUACGGGUGAGUAAUAGGCUAAUAUCUAGCUUCAACUUUGGAAUAAUCCUAUCCCUCAGGGGAGAAAGUAAUAGGAGAAUACCAAAUAAUUAAAUAAAAAGGUACGCCGGUUGGAGAUGAUUAGGCUCAGUAUUAGGUAGUUGGUGAGUUAAAGCCCACCAAGCCGUUGAUGCUUAGUUGGUCUGGUAGGACGAUCAAUCACACUGGGACUGAGACAAGGCCCAGGUUUCAUUUGAAGGCAGCAGUAAGGAAUAUUGCACAAUGAGCGAAAGCUUGAUGCAGCAAGGCUUGGUGAGGGAUUGAAGGCUUAGGUUGUAAACCUCUUUUUUAACUGAGGAUAAUGACAUUAAGUUAAGAAUAAGUCCCGACUAACUUCGUGCCAGCAGUCGCGGUAAUACGGAGGGGGCGAGCCUUAUUCGUCAUAACUGGGCGUAAAGGGUCCGUAGGUUGCUUUCUGGAAGGUUAUUUGUUAAAGACUGUAGCUUAACUAUAGAAAAGCAUUUAAGACAGGAAAGCUAGAGUCUGACAGAGGGGGAUAGAAUUUUUCAAUUAGGGUUAAAUUCCGGAGAAGUGGAAGAGAAUAUCAGCAGCGAAGGCGAUCCCCUUGUUCAGUACUGACGCUGAGGGGCGAAGGCGUAGGUAGCGAACAGGAUUUGAGACCCUGGUAGUCUACGCUGUCAACGAUGAGUGCUAGUUUUUAGGCAUCUAGAAAAUAUAGCUAAGGCAUUAAGCACUCCGCCUGAGGAGUACGAGCGCAAGCUUAAAAAUCAACGGAAUUGGCGGGGGUUCAAACAAGUGGUGGAGCAUGUGGUUUAAUGCGAUAAUACGCGCGUAACCUUACCAGUUCUAGUAAGUCUGCCAUUCUUGCGGAGACGUAAUGAAUUUUGGGGCUUUCAGGUGUUGCAUGGCUGUCGUCAGCUCGUGUCGUGAGAUGUUGGGUUAAGUCCCGCAACGAGCGCAACCCUUGUCUUUAGUUGCCAUCAUUAAGUUGGGUACUUUAAAGAGACUGCCGGUGACAAACCGGAGGAAGGUAAGGAUGACGUCAAGUCAGCAUGCCCCUUAUGUUCUGGGCUACACACGUGCUACAAUGGUCGUGACAAAGAGUUGCAAGCUUGUGAAAGUAAGCCAAUCUCAUAAACGCGGCCUCAGUUCGGAUUGUAGGCUGAAACUCGCCUACAUGAAGGUGGAAUCGCUAGUAAUCGCCGGUCAGCUAUACGGCGGUGAAUCCGUUCCCGGGCCUUGUACACACCGCCCGUCACACCAUGGGAGCUGGCCACGCCCGAAGUUGUUACUCUAACCUUUAUGGAGGAGGGCACCUAAGGCAGGGCUAGUGACUGGGGUGAAGUCGUAACAAGGUAGCCGUACUGGAAGGUGUGGCUG
rnacentral:rRNA from 1 species